GGAUUAUUUUAAAAUAUUUUACGACACAGGUAAAAAUAUAUUUAUUAGAAUAAAGAAUAUAUUUAUAAUAUUAAAUAUAAUAGAUAUUUUAAUUUUCGUUUCCGCAAGAUACCUUAACAAUCAACAAAAAUAAACCAUUUUAAAAUAUUACCAGUUAAGAAAAAUAAUGAGUUCCAAGGGUUUGUUUUAUGAAACUUUACUACGCAAUAUUUUAUAUGCAAUAAUUACAACAACAAGGUAAGCCUAAGUCAUCUUUUUUAAGAUCUUGACAUCAUUUGUCCCCCAAGCAAUAUGGGAUUAUUUUUUGUUCCUUUCAUUCCUUUAAAUCCCUAGAACCUAAAUAUAUCACAACCUUUUUUACCCCUGGCUGAUACAUAGUGGAAGAAGUAAACGGCUAUACAUAAAACUUCAGAUUUUUAACCUUGACAUUCGUUAAUAAUAAGUAAUACUUAUUAGCUUAGAUAGUCUAUUAGGUACUACCUAUUCUUGUAACAGUGACUUUUGUUUUGAUUGCAACUUUUGAAUUUACAUUUAUGUAAGGCAGUUGGCAACCAAAGGAGCUGCUAUGUACACACUACACAGGUCUCCUAAUGGAUCCAUCCUCAGAGAGAUACUAGAGGCCCAAAAGCCUUGGAAAAUCCAAUGAGGCACUCUGGUUUAAAUGCCUUAAUAUCACCGGAUAAACUGGAGUAAUAACUCAGAUAUUUCAAAUAAGCGCGUAUGAGUGCUUGGCACUUCCCAACUAAAGAGUUGCUGAUGCUUUGAAGAUAAGCCUUCGAACAGUAUCAAGGAUAAAAAAUUUCCAAAGACCGAAAUGAGUUGCCCUCAACACCAGGCAAGGACCGGCCACGGAGGAAGGAAAAGACUCAAGAUCUUAAUGAAUUUACAAAAAUGGAUGUUCGUAGUACAGUGUAUGACAUGUAUGCACAAACAAAACAAGUUACAAUUCAUAUGCUAAAGGAAGAGCUACAUCGAAAAGAAAUUCUUCACAUUCGUUAUAGAAGCCUUCGAACACUCCUCUUUAACCUGGGAUUUAAAUACCUUAGGGAUGAUAACAGACGUGCAUUAAUGGAGACAACCAAUAUAUCUUCAAUGAGGGCAGCUUUUUUGAGAAAAUACAUGGAAAACAAAAACUCACCAUUUGCACGUCAACUUGUGUUUUUGGGUGAAACUUGGAUCUUUUCUAAAGGCAGCAAGGUGAGAUCAUGGCAAGACAAUAGUGUUAAGAGUGUUCAUAAGCCAGGUGGUUUUGAUGGAAAACGUUUUAUUGUGUUGCAUGCUGGACAUAGUGGAGGAUUUAUUAAAAAUGCCAGUUUAAUUUUUGCCCCUAAAUCUGAAACAUUGGAUUACCAUGGAGAAAUGAACCACGAACUAUUUACGAAGUGGGUUGAAAAUCAGUUGAUCCCAAAUCUAGAGGAACCUUCAUUAAUUAUAAUGUAUAAUGCUCCAUACCAUUCUGUCCAGCUAGAAAAGCAACCUUCAUCCUCAUGGAAAAAACAAGAAAUUGCUGAGUGGUUAGUGAAAAAUAAUAUACCAUACAAUAGACAAAUGUUUAAGCCUGAGUUAUUAAGCAUAGCAAAAAUGUACAAAAGGCCAAAGCAAUAUAAAAUAGAUAAAAUAUUGCAAGAAAAUGGACAUGAAGUUUUAAGAUUGCUACCCUAUCAUUGUCAAUUUAAUGCGAUUGAGAUGGGCAGAUGCCAAACAUUUUUACAAUACCCAUAUUGGUGAAAAUGGGCAUAAAGAUGAAAAUGUACUGGAUAUGUGGAAAAAAUCAUUAGAGAAAUGUACACCAGAAGUAUGGAACGCUAAGGUUUGCCACACUGAAAAAAUAAUCAAGGACUGGUAUGAUAGGGAAGUCAUUAUUGAAAAGAUACCCCAAAUUUUGAUUAGUUUAAACAGUGAAACUAGCUCGGAA